UACAGAGGUCCCAAGCGUUGUUCGGAUUCACUGGGCGUAAAGGGUGCGUAGGUGGUGAGGUAAGUCGGAUGUGAAAUCUCCGAGCUCAACUCGGAAAUGGCAUUGGAAACUACCUUGCUCGAGGGUUGGACGGGGGACUGGAAUGCUUGGUGUAGCAGUGAAAUGCGUAGAUAUCAGGCGGAACACCAGUGGCGAAGGCGAGUCCCUGGACAACUCCUGACACUGAGGCACGAAAGCUAGGGGAGCAAACAGG
rnacentral:rRNA from 1 species